AUGUACCGGCAAGCCUACGCAAAAGGACUUAACUCCCUAAUCAUCCUCACAUCUUGGGCCAUCUGGAAGCACCGCAACGCAGUCCUCUUCGACAACAUAACACCCUCCAAUGGCGACCUUCUCAACGACAUCAAACAGGAGGCCAAACUAUUGGCAAGAGCCGGCGCCAAAGGGCUCGAUCGGACAAUUUCUAUAACAUAA
rnacentral:rRNA from 1 species